rnacentral:misc_RNA from 1 species
ACACCACAAACACACUCCUUAUCUAGAGACGAACAACCCACCCUUGCAUCAUUCCACCCUGACAUUACCCAAGUGCUACAUCGUUACUCACCCAUUUUUUCUAUACCCCAUGGUCUACCCCCAAACCGACCCCAUGACCACCAUAUCCACCUAAAGCCCCACUCCAACCCCAUCAACAUUAAACCAUACCGUUACCCCCAUUUUCAGAAGGAAUCCAUGACUUCCAUGAUAGCUGAUAUGCUACAA